UUACCUCCACUCGCGAUUGUGUGCACGUGCUAACAGCUUAAGUAUCUGAAGUCUGAAUACCAUAAAGACCUGACGAACACUACUUUACUUGACACUGCAGCAAGUAGUGGAAUACUUUUUUCCGUGGGCCGCAAUGGAAGUUAUAGAAUUUGAGUAUCGACAAAGACAAGCUAUAUCUACAAGCCUAGUCACUAGCAUGCAGGAGGCGUAAGGGACGUCUAUUCCAUUAAGCACUAUGGAAGCAGGUACCCUCCAACAACAUGAUUCGCCACUCACAGUCAAUGAACAG